GUUCUUGGAAAGGAGAAAGGUAAAUGAGGAGUAGCCCAUGAGCUGCUGUGAAGGCCAGAACCAUCUUGGCAGGCUGGGAGAGAGGCACAGAGAUGUCUGAGAAUCCAGUGCUGGGCUCCUCCAGAGAUGUGAACGCUGUGAAAUCGCCCUCCAUUGAAAGCAUCUGGUGUAAGUAUGGGUAAAUAAAUCAUAUUUCAAAGACACUGCAGACUCUGCCUUGCUUCAUUUUCCCAAAGGGAACAUGGACCCUGGUUGAGUGCCAAAAGCUCUUGGGAUCUCAUGCACCCGUAACACAGUGUUUCUAUACUUGCCCCUGCCAGUACAUGGAAUGGAAAUUUCAGCUGAGAAUAAGGUUCUUUCAGGUUAAGGACUCUUCUGACCUCUCUGCUAACUCUGGGUUGCCAGGUUUCAAGUGCACUGAGCCAGGGGUAGUGAUAAAUAUUCAGUAGUAGAUGGCAAUGGAAAGUCGGCUUCUUUUCAUGUUUUGCAUGGUUUAGGAGCUUGGAAAGCUCGCUUUGUAAUUCCUUCCAGCUAAUAGCAUUCUUAUUCUAUCUUUUCCCAGCUUCUUGAGAGUGUCAUUUGAUUCAAAUUAUAAGCAUUCUGCAGAGAAUUCAAAUCUCAGAGAGGGAGAGAGACCCGUGUUUCCAAGCUCUUGCUGAAAUACUCUCCACACUUACGCAAGCUUGAAAUCUUCUGGAUUCUCAGCAGACUAAUGUGUGUAGCUGUAUGCACCAUCACAGCCCUUGGAUAGGAUAAUAUGCUUGAAAUGCUGGCACAGGUCUCUGUGCCAAGCACUUGAUCCUGCUCUGACAUACCUGAUGCAUGUACUUGCCACUUCUGAGAUCACAAAUGUUGUUGUUUAGUCAUUUAGUCAUGUCUGACUCUUCGUGACCCCGUGGACCAGAGCACGCCAGGCACUUCUGUCUUCCACUGCCUCCUGCAGUUUGGUCAAACUCAUGUUUGUAGCUUCGAGAACACUGUCCAACCAUCUCGUCCUCUGUCGUCCCCUUCUCCUUGUGCCCUCCAUCUUUCCCAACAUCAGGGUCUUUUCCAGGGAGUCUUCUCUUCCCAUGAGGUGGCCAAAGUAUUGGAGCCUCAGCUUCACGAUCUGUCCUUCCAGUGAGCACUCAGGGCUGAUUUCCUUAAGAAUGGAGAGGUUUGAUCUUCUUGCAGUCCAUGGGACUCUCAAGAGUCUCCUCCAGCACCAUAAUUCAAAAGCAUCAAUUAUUCGGCGAUCAGCCUUCUUUAUGGUCCAGCUCUCACUUCCAUACAUCACUACUGGGAAAACCAUAGCUUUAACUAUACGGACCUUUGUUGGCAAGGUAGAUCACAAAUAAGAACAAUCUAAAAGGGUUUGCUGAGUUCACAUUAAUGCUCAUUUAUGAAGGUAUGUGUCCUUGCUUCUGAGCCUCUGGGGAAGGGCUGCAACUCAGUGGUUGAGCAUCUCCAUUCCACGGAGAAGGUCCCAGGUUCAAUCCUGGGCCUCUCCAGGUAGGGCUGGGAAAGACUCCCUUCCUGAAAUCUGGGAGAGCUGCUGCCAGUCCGUGUAGACAACACUGAGCUAGAUGGUCAGUAUAAGGCAGCUUCCUGUGUUCCCAUGUUGCAAGUUCUUAUAUUUUCCAGUGGUGCAGUGGAAGAGAAACGCAGGGAAGUGCUGCGUCAGAGCAGGAGCAAUGACCUCCUCCAUCAAAGUGACUGAUGGACCUUCUGGCAAGGGAAUGAAGGGAUAAUGAGGCUUUUGAGUUUUGCAGCUUGUAGCCGUUUAGCAUAGAUGAAGUCAGAGAAUGAGGAAAAUAAUCCAGCAGAGCCGUAAGAGCGGUGGACUCGUAAUCUGGGGAACUGGGUUUGCGUCUCCGCUCCUCCAUGUGCAGCUGCUGGGUGACCUUGGGCUAGUCACACUUCUCUGAAGUCUCUCAGCCCCACUCACCUCACAGAGUGUUUGUUGUGGGGGAGGAAGGGAAAGGAGAAUGUUAGCUUUGAGACUCCUUCGGGUAGUGAUAAAUCCAAACUCCUCCUCUUCUUCUUCUUUCCCUUGAUGGGGUUUGCUACUUCAUGCUACAAUGCUCACACUUCUCAGCAAUAUGGUUUGCAUUUUAUUUAUUUAUUAUUAUUAAAAGGUGCAAGUUGCAUUUUAGCUGGAUGCAGGUCUUUUGCUAGCUCAAUGUGUUUUCCAAGUAAAUCUAUGCAGUCAGGAGUAAGCACCAUUGAGUUUAAUGAAGCUUACUUCCAGGAAACCAUGCACAGGAUUGCAGUCACAUUGUAAGCAAUAGUAAAACUUGAAAUUUUGCAUUUAAUCUAGCUAGGAAGUUAAAGGAACACACAGGCUAUAUAGGUUGUCAUGAUGAGCUCCUGCACUUCAAAGAUUACCACUAUGCCAUUGAUAUAUAUGGGGCACAUGACAUGUUCAGAGGAUGCAGAUAUAUAAAGUGUGGAAAUGAUUUUGCAUCUUACACUUCUUAGGAAUCUGAGACAGAGUGAAAUUCCCAGCUGUCAGGAGGGCAUCUCUCAGUAGCUUCCAUUGAUGGAAGAAUUUGAUUAGCUUCUCAACCUGCAGCAUUAGCACAUGGCCUGGGCAGGUGUGCAGCUGAAUGCAUGCUGAAUACUUAUGCUUGUGAUGCCUAUUGGUCAGUGAUGCCUUCCAAAAGUUUUCAGAGUACAGUGGUACCUCGGGGUAAGUACUUAAUUCAUUCUGGAGGUCCAUUCUUAACCUGAAACUGUUCUUAACCUGAAACACCACUCUAGCUAAUGGGGUCUCCUGCUGCCGCUGCGCAGCUGGAGCCCGAUUUCUGUUCUCAUCCUGAAGCAAAGUUCUUAACCCGAGGUACUAUUUCUGGGUUAGCGGAGUCUGUAACCUGAAGCGUAUGUAACCUGAAGCGUAUGUAACCCGAGGUACCACCAUACUAUCAACUGUAGCCAGCAUGGCUAACAGUUGCAGAUGAUGGAAAUUGUAGUCCAGCAAAAUCCCGAUCACACACAUUGACUUGUUGUCGUUUGAGGCUGCAACCUGCUCUGCUAUUAAGCCACCAUGCCUCCCAGUAUUUUAUUGCCUUACAGAAUCCUCUGGCAUGGGCGUAACCAGGAUUUUUGUUGGGGGUGGGGGCAGAACCUCAGUUUGCUAUGUAUUUUUAUUGAUUUUUAUCCCCCUCGCUCCUGGCUACGUCCAUGCCCUCUGGGAUUACGUUAGUGAUUUGUUAUAGAAAUCAAAAGUACAUUCUGUGGCGUUUGGCCCAGUCAACAGGGGAUUCCUCCCCCCCAAAAAAACAUACACCUUAAUGAUAAAAAGCAGCAUGUGUUUUCAGUCAGAUGUAUUUUAUGGCGUGCUGUAAAAUUUACCCACCGCAGUUCUGCAUUGUGUCACAGACAAUAAUGGAGCUGCCUUUUACAAUGUCGUUGUAUUUCAUUUUUGGAUGUAUACGGUAAAGGGCUGCCAUGGCCACAUUCAAGUGACAUCUUUAAACCAUUGCACAAAACUGAGUGCCGUAUUUUUCCGUCUAUAAGAUGCCCCCAUGUAUAAGACGCCCCUAUUUUGGGGACUCAGAUUUAAGAAAAUGUGGGGAGAUGGCCCUGUGUAUAAGACUCCCCCUAAUUUUUGACGUUAUUUUUUAAGGGGAAAAAACCUAGUCUUAUACAUGGAAAAAUAUGGUAAUUCAUGUAUUUUUUUCAUGGAGAAAGUUUCAUCCUUUAAACCAGGGGUGACCAAUGGCCAGGGAUGGUGGGCGUUGUCAGAAGUGAGACCAGUGGGGAGGGGAGCUUGUGGCAGCUGGAGGGGGAGGCACGCCUCUUCACCAGCCUGAAUCAUCUCUGCCUCUUGGCCUCCCUCCCCCAACUUUGGCUUCUGCCUCUGAUUUUGCCUCUCUGCUUCAGACUCUCCCAGCUCACUAAGCCCUGUUACCUGUUCUGCUUCUGCCCCCUCCUCCUCCCAGUCUUCUUCCCCUUCUUCCUCUAACCACUCAUCAAUGUCCCAUCACCAUUCCCUCAGCUUUCAGCCUUCUUUCAAUGGAGGUUCCUCAGCCAGUUCCUCCCACCACUCCUCUGCAUCCAACCAGUCCAUGACAGGCAUUUUAGUUCAGUGACAUCUGGAGGGCUAUAUUUUUCCCAUGCCCGUUUUAAGCAUUUAACGAUAGGAUUGAAUUUGUGCUUGGUUCCGUGGCAAGCAUAAGGUCCCUGCGUCUACAGGACAUGGAUGACUUCAUCAUACAAACUGUCCUUACAGGCAAAGACAUCCUGGGAAGUUUAAAGGGCUCUCUUAAUCUUCCCUUCCAGGACAGAGGAAGCCUCUAUACACCAAAUUCACAGGAACAAACCCAUGAAAGGAGACCCUGCAAAGGAACAUGUCAGAUUUGCAGCCUGAGAUAAUCUGAAAGAUGAACGUCUAUCUCAUUUAGGGUGGCAACCUAUGCAUUGUUGAUGAAAAGGAAAUGCAACACACACAUUAAAAAAAACCCAAAAACUGGGCAAAAAGAGGACACAGGUUUGCAUAAGAUUUGCAUAUGAAAAUGUAUAUGAACCGAUGCAAAUUUAGAAAUCAUUACUAUUUUUUUUUUAAAAAUAGAAAUACAUCUCACAGCAGUGUGGAAGACUCUCCAGGUGACUUGUAUACCUGCAUAGCUGUCAACUUUCCCCCUUUUUAAAGGGAAAUUCCCUUAUUCCGAAUAGGAUUCCUUGCAAGAAAAGGGAAAAGUUGACAGCUAUGUAUACCUGCUCAGUCUGUUAAUGAGCAACCUCAAGGCCCCUGUGCUCCCUUCUUAGGGUUCAUUAUCUUUAAAACAGCUUGGAUUCUUCAGCAUUUGAAACAGAGAGCUGUCCUCUGAUAGACCUCUAUAGUCUGCUCUUUGGAAGAUUGUCCACUCUGAAUCUGGUCCCCUCUAAAGUAAGACGGUUGGCUGCGUUAGUUCUACCAGCUGUAGCCUUAAAGGGAGAGGGAGCAGGGAGGGGAUUAAAUCCUGCCUCCCCCAUUUCAUCUCCUCAAUAACUGAUAGAUUAUUUUGCAGUGCCUGUGUACUCUGAGCAUUGGAUCAGAGGAGCAUAACAGAGAGUCAUGCUCUUAUGAACACCCUGUUCCCCACAUUUAUCUGCUGCUGAGAGGCUGGAAGCACCGUCACAUCAGAAGUUACCUGACUAGUGUGACUUAAGGCUGAAGCUGAUUAUCAUAAAAUGCAGGAUGAAUACCAUAACACACAGGCUCGUACCAUCUGCAUUUUGAGACAGACAGUCUAAGUUCAUGUAAAAAGGAACCGCUUCUUGGACUCAAUGUUUCUGAUCAAUUUUCCUUUGUUUAUGUUACCAAUGACGGAUUAUAAUGGAACUGCAGAUGUGGGUAACAUGGGGAAAAAAUACAUAAAACUUAACAUUGAUAUAUUUCCAGCUCCUUGUCAGACGUCAAAGGGAUUUUUUGAAAAAUGGAGUGAGGAAUUUAUAGAUGCAGUUGCAUUUGCAGAUAUAUAAAAAGAAUUCCAAUCGUUUUCAGAAUGAAAAGGAACUCGUGAAGCUAUUGUUUUGAAAAGGAGAAAAGUGUAAGAUAGGCAAAGUAGCAAGUUCAGAGGACACAUAUAUGCACUUUUCUGUCUCAGCACAAAAUGUUAUUUAAUAUUUAAAAGCAGGGUUCUCACCUUUAGCCACACCAUGGUUAAUUGCAUACACCUCUGUCCCUUGCAUGAAAUUUUCACAGCUGCUGCACAUUGAUCUCAGGUUCUCAGUGAGCUAUUCAGCACAACUUCAAGAUAUUGCUCCUAGUUAAUCACUGCUAGUUUAGACCCCAUCUAUGUAAACGGGAUGUUAGAAUUUUACUGACCCAGUCACUUUGCACAUAAUUAUAUUGGGGCAUGCUUGCUAUUUCGUUGCCCAGCCACCUAGACUGGAGAGAUUCUUUUAAAGCUCUCUGCAGAUACAGUGGUACCUCGGGUUAAGUACUUAAUUCGUUCCAGAGGUCCGUUCUUAACCUGAAACUGUUCUUAACCUGAAGCACCACUUUAGCUAAUGAGGCCUUCCGCUGCCACCGCGCCGGAGCACGAUUUCUGUUCUCAUCCUGAAGCAAAGUUCUUAACCCGAGGUAAUAUUUCUGGGUUAGCGGAGUCUGUAACCUGAAGCGUAUGUAACCUGAAGCGUAUGUAACCUGAGGUACCACUGUAAUUUGGCCUUCUCUGCUAACUUGGCUACACCUUCCCAUUCCUAACCUCAAAUGAUUUAUGAACAAGUCAGGAUACAUUGGUCCUAUUCAGAGAUGUGCGUCCGGACAAAGUUUGAAUAUCAAACUGAACCAGGCCAUUUAGGAGUUAUUCAGACCUCCUCCAAAGUGAAACAGGCCUUGUUCAAAGUGAAGGGGGCUUGCGGACCUUCUGCUAUUCCUCAGAUGAAAACAGGGACAUUUUUCACUCCUCCCCCAACUAACCCUUCUUAACUCCCCCAUUUUUGUUCCCCUUCACAGAGCAUUUCUUAUCAGAAGAAGGGCAAGUGCUGCAACAACCACACCAAUGAGACACAACAUACAUGCCUUCCACCAUCCUGAGAAAACCCCUGAAUCCCGAUUUUAUUUUAUUAUUUGGUAGAUUUAUGAAAGACUGUUUUACACACACACACACACACACACACACACACACACACACACUACAUUAGUCUAUGGUUCCAGG
rnacentral:lncRNA from 1 species